rnacentral:piRNA from 1 species
UAGCUAUGAUAGAGGUUUCCUGGAUGCCACU